CCUACGGGAGGCAGCAGUGGGGAAUUUUGGACAAUGGGCGAAAGCCUGAUCCAGCCAUGCCGCGUGCAGGAUGAAGGCCUUCGGGUUGUAAACUGCUUUUGUACGGAACGAAACGGUCUCUUCUAAUAAAGGGGGCUAAUGACGGUACCGUAAGAAUAAGCACCGGCUAACUACGUGCCAGCAGCCGCGGUAAUACGUAGGGUGCAAGCGUUAAUCGGAAUUACUGGGCGUAAAGCGUGCGCAGGCGGUUAUAUAAGACAGUUGUGAAAUCCCCGGGCUCAACCUGGGAACUGCAUCUGUGACUGUAUAGCUAGAGUACGGUAGAGGGGGAUGGAAUUCCGCGUGUAGCAGUGAAAUGCGUAGAUAUGCGGAGGAACACCGAUGGCGAAGGCAAUCCCCUGGACCUGUACUGACGCUCAUGCACGAAAGCGUGGGGAGCAAACAGGAUUAGAUACCCUGGUAGUCCACGCCCUAAACGAUGUCAACUGGUUGUUGGGUCUUCACUGACUCAGUAACGAAGCUAACGCGUGAAGUUGACCGCCUGGGGAGUACGGCCGCAAGGUUGAAACUCAAAUGAAUUGACGG
rnacentral:rRNA from 1 species